rnacentral:RNase_P_RNA from 1 species
GUGAUGGGUCGCCCCACCGCGGCGCCGCAAGGCGACGAGGAAAGUCCGGGCAACACAGAGCACCCUGCUUCCUAACGGGAAGGACUGGGCGGCGUAAAGCUUCUCAGGACAGCCAGUGCCACAGAAAACUACCGCCAGGCGGUGAAUGAGUAAUUGAGUGAAUGAGUGAGGUAUAGUUCAAUCUGCGCAAGCGGAAAGAUCAACUCACUUAAUCACUCAUUCACAACUUCACCUUUGGUAAGGGUGAAAAGGUGCGGUAAGAGCGCACCAGCGGCUGGGCAACCACGCCGGCUGGGUAAACCUCAGGGGUUGAAAGACCAAAUAAGCUGGCACGCAGGCCUUUCGGGGCCGGCACCGGGCGGCUCGUCCGGCGCCAGCGGGUAGGUUGAUGGAGCCUUUCCGCGAGGACUGGCCUAGAUAAAUGGUGGGGCCGUGGCAACACGGACAAAACCCGGCUUACAGACUCAUCACCGCC